UCCCUGGUGGCUCAGACAGUAAAGCGUCUGCCUACAAUGCGGGAGGCCCAGGUUCAAUCCCUGGGUUGGGAA
rnacentral:tRNA from 1 species